rnacentral:lncRNA from 1 species
CACAUGGACAGACAUCCAUUACCUCGUACACUUGUUAGUACUAUUGAGCCCACUGACUGGAAUGAAGCUCUUGAUAUAAACUAUUGAUAUGGUUCUCCUGAGAAGGUUUUCUUUUACUAACCAUCGACUUGUAUUCUGACCAAAAGAUAUGUUAAUAAUUGCCCUAUCUCGCUGUUAAUAAAUGGGGAUUGUUUCUGGUAGCUGCAAGGGAAAGAUAAACCCUUCCCCUGAUUAGCUGAUCCUUAAGAUGUCGAACACGAGCAUCUGUCGGACCUGUUUGUUCAUUCUGUUUUUCGGUUUUGAUAUUUAUGGGUUCGCUGGUGCUAACUUUGGCUAAGGCUUGAACAGAAUGACGCACUAUAUCAACUAUUCACCUCAAUUCACACUAGCAUUCAACCACACGCUGUGGUACUUCCCUAAACCAUUCUCUCUCUCUCUCUGGUACUUAUAUUUAUUGUUUUAUUUAUAAGCAACUAUGGCAUAUGAUCUUGUAGAAUUUAUGAUUGGAGUUGAAAUUCAUUUACUGUACAUGACUUGCUUAGUUAUUUUAGGAUAUUAGGCAUUAAAUGCUUGAAUUAGUUAUAGACACUAGUCCAUUAUGUUCUGUUGAAGGAAUAAUAUGUGUAUUAUGAAGGGGAGGAACUUAUCUCGCUGACCUGGGUAUUUUUUGCCCUUACCACUUAAAAAUUUCCAAGUUAUCAAUAAAUGUGUCUUUCCAAUGUCUGCUGCAACAUGUUGAAUUCUUGGUAAAUAAAUCUAUGAUGUAUGUGAUUAUAGCUAGCAUCUUUGGGGCAUAUAUUAUAUGAAAAUUUGUCGUCUCAAGAAAAGUUUUUCCAUAUUGACUAAUAGCCUCAACUUUUUCAUAAUUGUUGUCCUUUCUAUAUAGAAAUCUAAACAUUGUUAUUUAAGAUUGUGUGAUGGUAUUUAAGAUUGUGUGAUGCUUGUGGUUGUUGAAUGUGACUGAAUUCUGACUUGAGGUCAACAUAUAGUAAUAAUCUACAAGUCUUGUAACAGAAAAUAUGUUUACCACUAUGCUUACUGAAAUUAAUUCAUGAAAUGGCCGAUUAAGAUUCUAUUUUUUUCUUGUAACAGAGUUAUCAUAUAGUUGCACUGAAGGUUCUUUUUCUAUUUGGAUUUGUAGAAAAUGAUAUUGUGAUUGCCUAUUUAUUUUUUUUCUGCUUAUGAGCAAUACAGUGUACAUUAGUACCACGUAGCAACUCUAUUGUCUUUGUGUAUUAAUUUCGGCACUAAGUGUCUCUGGUGACCUAUUUGCUUCAUUUUUCUGACUUGCUAUUAUUUUUAAAUAUGUGCAGGAAGACUGCUUCUACGACCUGCCUUACAAUACUGGGUAUCAAAUUUUCGUGCUACGUUUACGGAAGACAAGGGACGAAAUUAUGAAGUAUACUCUCUCUAUAUAUGUAUAUAUAUACUUUGAUUGAAGAACUAUGGUAGUUUUAGAUGGUUAAUUGUAAAGAUAAUGAAUGAUUAUGUAGUGGAUGAUUUUAUUAAGUUAAUAAUAUUUUAGUUUUUUGUAUUUUUGCUUUUAUUUGAUAUGGGGACAUUCAGUCAGGUACACAAAAAGAAUGUCAAAUUUUGAUUUGGCAAUAAUAUAAUUCGUUACCAAGG